rnacentral:rRNA from 1 species
GACGAACGCUGGCGGCGCGCUUAACACAUGCAAGUCGAACGGUGAACCGGGCUUCGGCCCGGGGAUCAGUGGCGAACGGGUGCGUAACACGUGGGCAACCUGCCCCUCACUCUGGGAUAACCCCGGGAAACCGGAGCUAAUACCGGAUACUCCGAACGGUCCGCAUGGUCCGAUCGGGAAAGGUCCGCCGGUGAGGGAUGGGCCCGCGGCCUAUCAGCUUGUUGGUGAGGUAACGGCUCACCAAGGCGACGACGGGUAGCUGGUCUGAGAGGACGACCAGCAACACUGGGACUGAGAUACGGCCCAGACUCCUACGGGAGGCAGCAGUGGGGAAUCUUGCGCCAUGGGCGAAAGCCUGACGCAGCGACGCCGCGUGGGGGAUGAAGGCCCUCGGGUUGUAAACCCCUUUCGGCAGGGACGAAGCGGUUCCGUGACGGUACCUGCAGAAGAAGCCUCGGCUAACUACGUGCCAGCCGCCGCGGUAAGAC